CCGGUACCAAAAGCCGGCCUCUUGCUUGUCGAUAUUUUCAAGUCUCUGACGACUCCUCACUAUUAUCUCUACCUCUCUCAUUUCUCCACCUCUCAUCUCUCUCUUCCUUAUCCUCUCUCGCUGAAGAAGCCGGGCGUGGAUAGGAUUCCGAGCGGCAGGGCGCCACUGCCGCGGAGCGCGAGGAGCUGCCGGGCGUGCAGGCACCUAGCCGCUGGCCGCUGCCGCCGCCGGGCGCUGCCGUGGUGCGCCGGCUGCCACCGCGGCGCAGAGCGCGCGGGCUCCGCUUGCCGCCAUGCAGAAGAUCUUGGAGUUCGGCACCGACCUCCGCGCGGGAGACGGCCGUGGGAGCUAGCCCCCGUGGGGCGAGCAACUCUACCCGGCGGCAAGCAGGUCCACUCGGCGGCGAGCAACGGCCAGCGGAUCCGCGUGGCUGGCGCCGCGUGGCCGGCGAGAAGCUCCGCGCAGGAGCCGGCCGUGGGAGCUAGCCCCCGUGGGGCGAGCAGCUCUACCCAGCGGCGAGCGGGUCCACCCGGUGGCGCGGCCGGCAAGGAGCUCCGUGGCGGGCGAGCAACUCCUGUGAAGUGUGGGCGGCCGUCGAGGAGUCCCAGUGGGCGAGCGAGAAGCCGCCGCCGUGGGUGAUUUUUUUUUCUUUUUUUUUCCUACUUUUCUGUAAUAGAGAUGCAUGUGGAAUUGUAUGGAUUAAUUGUAUCUAUCUUGUGAUCGAUUCUUUGAAUGAUUUGCGAAAUCUAUGGAUUGUAUCUAUAUUUUGUGGUUGAUUA